rnacentral:rRNA from 1 species
GAUCCUGGCUCAGGAUGAACGCUGGCGGCGUGCUUAACACAUGCAAGUCGAGCGGAGUUAUUUUGGAAGCUUGCUUUUAAAAUAACUUAGCGGCGGACGGGUGAGUAACGUGUGGGCAACCUGCCUCAUACAGAGGGAUAAUCAUGUGAAAACGUGACUAAUACCGCAUGUCGUUUCGGGAGGGCAUCCUCCUGAAAGAAAAGGAGCGAUCCGGUAUGAGAUGGGCCCGCAUCUGAUUAG